rnacentral:misc_RNA from 1 species
GAAAUGCGAUAAGUAAUGUGAAUCGCAGAAUUCAGUGAAUCAUCGAAUCUUUGAACGCACAUUGCGCCCGCCAGUAUUCUGGCGGGCAUGCCUGUUCGAGCGUCAUUUCAACCAUCAAGCCCCGGGCUUGUGUUGGGGACCUGCGGCUGCCGCAGGCCCUGAAAACCAGUGGCGGGCUCGCUGUCACACCGAGCGUAGUAGAUUCUCAUCUCGCUCAGGGCGUGCUGCGGGUUCCGGCCGUAAAACAGCCUUAUUUUACCCAAGGUUGACCUCGGAUCAGGUAGGAAGACCCGCUGAACUUAAGC